rnacentral:rRNA from 1 species
ACGAGACAGGGGCUUCGGUUCCAGGGGCCCAUGCCCCGCGCUCUUCACCCUAUGUGUAUCGACCGCUGUUGCUUUGGCGGGCUCCGGGCUUCGUCUCGGCUCCGGUUCCAGGCUGCCUUGAACUGGUGUCCGCCCGCCAGAGACCCUCUGAACCCUUUUGUAUCAAGUAGUCUGAGUUAUGAAGCAAAUCAAUCAAAACUUUCAACAACGGAUCUCUUGGUUCUGGCAUCGAUGAAGAACGCAGCAAAAUGCGAUAAGUAAUGUGAAUUGCAGAAUUCAGUGAAUCAUCGAAUCUUUGAACGCACAUUGCGCCCCUUGGUAUUCCGAGGGGCAUGCCUGUUCGAGCGUCAUUGCACCUCUCAAGCAUUGCUUGGUAUUGAACGCUCGCCGCCCUUUCGCUGGGCGGCGCGCUCGAAAAUUAGUGGCGGUCCCCGGAGACUUCAAGCGCAGUAACAGCGCCGCUUUGGAAGCUUUCUCCCGGAGGGCCCGGCCAGCGACCCCCCAUUUUUCAAUGAUUGACCUCGGAUCAGGUAGGGAUACCCGCUGAACUUAAGCAUAUCAAU